rnacentral:rRNA from 1 species
UACGUAGGGUGCAGGCGUUAAUCGGAAUUACUGGGCGUAAAGCGUGCGCAGGCGGUCUUUUAAGUCAGAUGUGAAAUCCCCGGGCUUAACCUGGGAACUGCGUUUGAAACUGGAAGGCUAGAGUGUGGCAGAGGGGGGUGGAAUUCCACGUGUAGCAGUGAAAUGCGUAGAGAUCAGGAGGAACACCGGUGGCGAAGGCGGCCAUCUGGUCGAAUAUUGACGCUGAGAUGCGAAAGUGCGGGGAUCAAACAGG